rfam:Schistosoma curassoni strain Dakar, Senegal genome assembly, scaffold: SCTD_scaffold0000412
GCACUGCUGAGGAGUCCCACCAUAGGAUGAAACGACCGUCCGGUGC